rnacentral:lncRNA from 1 species
CUAAGGUGCAGAUGUAGUACUGAGUUCCGGGUAUAAAAGUUGUGACGCGUAAGAAGCGUCUCAAACGUACCUUCUCGUUUAUUGUAUAUUCAAUAUCAAUUAAAAUUUCAAUUUCAAAAUAAAAAAAAAAAAAAUUUUUGGGAAAAGUUUAGAAGAACAAAUUUGUGAAAAUAUGAAAAUAGUAUGUGUUAGGGCAUAUGGCUGAUUUACAUUUCUAUUUCUCUACAUAAAUACAAUAUAAGCCCUAUGUUUUUAGUAAAAGCCUUACAGGUAUUAGUAUUUUACAAGCAGCGUUUGCACCCAUCUACUUGUGGGCAGAAGUUUUGUACAUAAAUUAUUGGCAAUAUAGGCUGCAUUCAUGCCAAUGCCUAAGCAUGAAUGCAGCCUAUAUUGCGUUACUUUGCAUCCAAAGAUUCCUGUUUAGGUCCUCCAGUUGGUUUUUUAAUUUGUCCUGGUCUUCGCUGUUUGUAGCUGCCCGUAGCAGGCCUUGGACCAACCUACGUUGCCGGAGCAGUUUUAUGCGUUUUCCUCCCCGCUUCUUCGUUUUCUUGGGCUGUUGCUGCUGCUGGCGUGCCCGGUACUCAGCUAUUGUGAGUGGGCGCGGUGUCCAUCGAAUGGAAAAGCCUCUAAAGCCUCCUUUAGACUCGGCUUGUCCCUUUGCUCGAUAGGAGCAGCGUUAAGGAGACCUGUCUCCAGCUUGUUUCCAACGAUGGCGUAAGGUCGUCAGCCCUCUCACGCUUAUAUUUGUACGCUGCAGUUGUCCUAUGGGUCUAAGGGCUCAGGCGGUGCAGGUGUCGGUCAUCGCACAGGUCAUCGAAGUACGCUCUGUGUAGUGUUGUCGGUGCCUUUUCAGGUCUUUAUAUUUUUUUUUUUUAUGUUUUAUGUUACCGCUCUACCCUUGGGUAGAGGGGGAUUAUUUGGCCGCCCGCCUUUACAAGGUGGAAAUCGCCAUGUCGAGAUAUGUAACUUGUUACAGUUUUACUCCAAUUUUGUCGAUGAACUCGAUUAAAGUUUGGUACGAGCGAAUUAGUCUUUUUCAAAGAAUUUAUAGAUAUUAUUAUAUUUCCUUAGCGAUGGGUAGUUUAGUCUUGUUGCGUUGUACUUGGUACAAUUAAAAAUUAUAUGCGAUGCGUCAUCGAUAGUAUCGCAAGUAUCACAAAUGUUACUUGCGACUACGUGCAUUUUGGCAAGUGUGUGCCUAUCAAAUGCACUGCCGAUAAGCAGUCUAUUGAUCUUUUUAGCGUCAAUGGCUUUUACCUUAUUUCUAUUUAGGAACCAUGGUUUUGUUGAGGUAGAGGGAAAAAGUGAGCAGUAUCCUCUGCGUUUAACGCUGGCAUACUCUCUCUCCCAUUCUUCUUUCAGUAUUCGGUGUAUCUCACAUAUUGCAUCUUUAAGAUUCCAUUUAACGACUGUAUAUUUUCCCAGUCUGUGUGCUUCUUUGGCUGCUGAGUCUACUGCCGUGUUCUGAGGGAUGUUGGCGUGGCCGGGUAUAAAAUGGAUUUCUACCUUCCUUAGGUAUUGGGCUUGACGGAUCUUCUCCCUGAUUUUAUAAGCGAUAGAAUUAUCCUGAAUGCUCCUUGCCAGUAUUAGAGCCCCGUUUCUGCUGUCCGUUAGGAUGGCGAAACGAGAAAACCCGCGGGAAAUAGCAUGGUCCAAGGCCUUUUCAAUUGCAAUCAACUCGGCGGACAGAGAUGUAAAAUGAUGAUGAUGAUGCGUGUAAAAGCUGUCUAUGAAACCUGAGCUGUCGUGUAGGAAAGCUGCGCUAGAGUGUCUGUUACCUACUGAUCCAUCAGUGUAGUAGGUCUCGAAGCCUCCCCUUGUCAGUAA